UGGUGACCAUAGCGUCGGUGUCCCACCCGAUCCCAUCUCGAACUCGGCCGUGAAACCCGACUGCGCCAAUGGUACUAUCGCCUAAGCGAUGGAAGAGUAGGGCGUCGCCA
rnacentral:rRNA from 1 species